rnacentral:ncRNA from 1 species
AAUUAUCGGAGCCAACCUUGGUGCGAGCCAAGUACGGAAAGCUACAGAUCUCGGCUGAUGUACUUAGUUGAGAUGGCUGAGUUGCAUUU